UCCAAACAAUCACAUCCAUCCAUUAGCAAUAUCUAAUGGCCAUUCAUCUUUUUGUGGUUAACGCUACCAACCACGCCCUUAAUCUGCUAACCACACACUUAAUCCAUCGCUAACCAGCCACGCCCUUCAAAAAAAGAGAAAGAAACAACUGUACGCACGACCUCUCGCCCCCUCUUGCUCCUCCCCGCGCCGUCCGCCGCCCGUCGCUCCUUCGCUGCGGGAGCUGCCCACCGUCGCGCCUUUCGUCGAGGGAUAGCCGGAGUCGCCGCAGGUCGCGGCCGACCUUCGCGCCCUUCACCCUGGGACAGCCGGAGGCCGCCGCCCGUCGCGCGUCGGGGGCUCCGCCGGAGCCCUUCGCCGCGGGACAUCCGGAGCCGCCGCGACCGUCAGUAGCCGCCCGCCCAUCCUCUCCCGCCUCCCGCCCAUCCUCGCCCUCCUCCCGCCGCCUGCCUGCCUCUGCCGCCGCCGCCCUCCUCCCGCCCAUAGUCUUCUCCUCCGCCGCGAGCGUGAGCAGCCGCCCGCCGGUCCUCCUCUACUGCCCCAACAAGGUGGGAGAGCAUGAGCAUCCCGCCAGCCUUCCUCUGCUACCACUCGGAAAAACAUGAGGGCGGCCGGGUGGCGGUGUCCUCCUCUGCUGCCGACAACGACUUUAUCCAGCCAGUGAAUUAUCAUGAUCCAACACCAAUACCACACUCAGCACUAAAAGGGUCAGAGUCUUGUUUAUGAGUAUUUAAGCUCAAUCUGAUUUAUGAGAAUUUAAGCUCUUCGUAUGGUUCACAAAUUUUUUUGCUGUCACUCCAAUUACCUUUUCAAUGCUCUCAGAAUUCUGCACAUUCCUCAGGUGGCACGAAAAUUAGCACCCAGAAGCUUCUGAGCUUUCUGGUCUAAGAUAUUUAUGCAAUCUCACUCACAAUAUUUUAUAUUUUCUGUUUUUGCCUCCUCCCUAACAACACCUACUUUAUAUAUACAGGUUUAGACCAUUCCCACUCAUCAACAUUCCCUGCAUCUAAGGUCCUUUUUGUCACAGUUUCAGAUUUACUAAAUCACUUGACAAUUUGAUUUACUCAAACAUUUAUGAAUUGAGCUUCUCAAUAUUACGUGAUAACUCCACAUGCCUACUCUAAAGAUCCCUGUGUAGCAUCGUUUUGUCAUUGGACUGAUUUAGGAUUUAAGAAUUAAGUUUCUCAAUAUUACAUCACAGCUCCGCAUACCUACUCUUAAGAUCCCUAUGUACAAUUGUUUUGUCAUUCUACUGAUUUAGGAUGUUCCCCAAUACAUGUCACAGAUGAGGAAUCAUCGUUCGUCUGUGUUAGGAUCAGCCAAGCGUUCCCCAUCUAAGAUCUGACAAAUACGCCUACUCAUGAUACUUACACAUGCUCUAGGAAUAUAUACAUAGUAUGCAGCACACGCUUAGAGUGUUGAUGUUCUCAAUGGUGUCCAAAAAUUUCUUUAUAGAAUCAAAUAAGCAAUUAAAUAUAUGAAUAAGUUUACAAUUUAGCUGUGUACCACAAAGAAUUAUGGAAACUAGAUUUCAGGUGUUUUGGAUAUGUGUGUUCAGUUCCGUAGGCAAUGGUUACCAACUGUGGGUUUUUAGAUUUUCAAAUGAAUUUCACCCUAUGGCUAGAGCAUCUUCAAUGAAAUGCAAACCUGUUCAUUUUUCUUUACAAUUAAUAGUUGAAUACUUCUGCUGAAAUAUUCAGGUCUGCUAUUUACGCUUUGUGUGCUAUGUUUUGCUCUCACUGUACUUCAAUAAGAAUAUAUUAUUCAAAUUUUUCACCACGAUGUCCUAUAUUUCUAUGCCUGGGGGGUUGCCACCGGGAGAACAAUUUCUAGAUGCUGAAUUGAAAUGUAUUGUAAUAUCCAGUGUCUUGCAAUGUCACUCUUUCAUAUUGAAGGUAUGCGUUUCACAACGAAAUAGAAAAUCCUAAAUUUUGCAUGUGUCAUUGGUUCAACAACCAGAACCUCUGCACCUCACUGUCAACCACAUGCAAGCUUCCUCCUUGCUUUAGGUGAGAGCAUUGAUUUCAUCGCCUUUUUAGCUUGCUCAAAUUGCAAGUUUGAUAGGUUUCCCCAACCUGCGUUUGGAGCCCCUUUGAUUUUGGUUCCUUGCUACAACUAUGUACGCAAUUUUGUUUGUUUUUCACAGUUUGAUCGAUCCAUUCUUAGCUACAAAUGCUUAUUUAUAAACAGAUGGAUACAAGGUUCAUUGUAGUCUUGCAGUUGGGAAUACCAAAAAAAGCAUUUGUUUGAGUGGUAUAGCUAGCGCUUAGAUGCCAUUUUCUUGUCUGCUAUUUUUAUAGCCUUUUUCUGUCAUGCUAUGAGUUGAUAGGAAUCAAAUAGAUAUUUUCUAAUUCAGGAAAUACCACCCUUACGAGCAGCCCUUGAACACAGAACAAGGAAACGAGGAUAUUUUGGAGCCCAGUUUCACUUCCUUUGAGGACGUUGGAGCCACUGCCACUAUUGCUAUGUGUGUGGUUAGGGUAUAGAUCAAACUGCAAUUCAACAAUUGUCAUCGACACAAUCAGAUCUCUGACUAUAAAACUCCAUGCUAAUGUUCCAUAUUCC